rnacentral:rRNA from 1 species
AUUGAACGCUGGCGGCAGGCCUAACACAUGCAAGUCGAACGAGUGGCGGACGGGUGAGUAAUGUCUGGGAAACUGCCUGAUGGAGGGGGAUAACUACUGGAAACGGUAGCUAAUACCGCAUACCAUCAGAUGUGCCCAGAUGGGAUUAGCUUGUGGGUGGGGUAACGGCUCACCAAGGCGACGAUCCCUAGCUGGUCUGAGAGGAUGACCAGCCACACGGGAACGAGGCCAGGGUCAGGACUCCUAGGGGAGGAAGAGGUGGGAAAUAUUGCACAGUGGGGGCAGGCCUGAUGCGGCAAUGCCGGGUGUAUGAGGAGGGCCUUCGGGUUGUAAAGUACUUUAAGCGGGAAGACGUUACCCGCAAAAGAAGCACCGGCUAACUCCGUGCCAGCAGCCGCGGUAAUA